rnacentral:tRNA from 1 species
GCGGGGGUGCCCGAGCGGCCAAAGGGGGCGGACUCAAGAUCCGCUGGCGUAGAGCCUUCCGGGGUUCGAAUCCCCGCCCCCGCA